rnacentral:rRNA from 1 species
GUAGGGUGCGAGCGUUAUCCGGAAUCAUUGGGCGUAAAGAGCUCGUAGGCGGUUCAGCAAGUCGGCUGUGAAAUUCCGAGGCUCAACCUCGGAACUGCAGUCGAUACUGUUGUGACUCGAGUCCGGUAGAGGAGAAUGGAAUUCCCGGUGUAGCGGUGAAAUGCGCAGAUAUCGGGAGGAACACCAGUAGCGAAGGCGGUUCUCUGGGCCGGCACUGACGCUGAGGAGCGAAAGCGUGGGGUAGCAAACAGGAUUAGAUACCCUGGUAGUCCACGCCGUAAACGUUGGAUACUAGGUGUGGGGUUCCGACCAACGGUCCCCGUGCCGAAGCUAACGCAUUAAGUAUCCCGCCUGGGGAGUACGGCCGCAAGGCUA